rnacentral:rRNA from 1 species
AGUCAAUAGAUACCCCGGUAGUCCACGCCCUAAACUAUGUCAACUAGGUGUUGGGUGGGUAAAACCAUUUAGUACCGUAGCUAAACGCGUGAAAGUUGACCGCCUGGGGAGUACGGCCGCAAGGUUAAAACUCAAAGGAAUUGACGGGGACCCGCACAAGCGGUGGAUGAUGUGGAUUAAUUCGAUGCAACGCGAAAAACCUUACCUACCCUUGACAUGCCAGGAACUUGCCAGAGAUGGCUUGGUGCCCGAAAGGGAGCCUGGACACAGGUGCUGCAUGGCUGUCGUCAGCUCGUGUCGUGAGAUGUUGGGUUAAGUCCCGCAACGAGCGCAACCCUUGUCGUUAAUUGCCAUCAUUUGGUUGGGCACUUUAACGAGACUGCCGGUGACAAACCGGAGGAAGGUGGGGAUGACGUCAAGUCCUCAUGGCCCUUAUGGGUAGGGCUUCACACGUCAUACAAUGGUCGGUACAGAGGGUUGCCAAGCCGUGAGGCGGAGCCAAUCCCAGAAAGCCGAUCGUAGUCCGGAUUGCAGGCUGCAACUCGCCUGC